UACUUCUGGCAAUGGGCAAAAGACACACAUUGUUGGUGGUGGUGUUUUCAUAUCAGUCUGGGGCAGAACAGAUGUCAGCCCUUUGUUCAUCCUAGUUUGAUGCCUAGCUUGGUGACCUAAUCUGUCUUAUGUCCAGGACUCACAA